AGACGUAGGGGGCGAGCGUUGUCCGGAAUUACUGGGCGUAAAGGGCGUGUAGGCGGCCUUUCUAGUCGGCUGUGAAAUUCCUCGGCUUAACCGAGGGCGUGCAGUCGAAACUGGAGGGCUUGAGUGCAGGAGAGGGUGGUGGAAUUCCCGGUGGAGCGGUGACAUGCGUAGAUAUCGGGAGGAACACCGGUGGCGAAGGCGACCACCUGGUCUGCUACUGACGCUGAGGCGCGAAAGCCGGGGGAGCAAACAGGAUUAGAUACCCUGGUAGUCCCGGCCGUAAACUCUGGGUACUAGGUGUAGGGGGCUUCGAUGCCCUCUGUGCCGCAGUUAACGCAUUAAGUACCCCGCCUGGGGAGUACGAUCGCAAGGUUGAA
rnacentral:rRNA from 1 species